rnacentral:lncRNA from 1 species
CUCCUGCCUCAGCGUCCUGAGUGCUGGGAUUACAGACAUGAGCCAGUACGCCCAGCUUCCACAAAUGAGCUUCUUAAUCUAAUGUACUUUGAAUUCUUUCAGAUUGAUGUCCAGUUCUUUGAAAAUAGCAGACCCAC